CUCUCAACUGCAAAAAAAGUUAAUGUAAAGGCUGCACGCGCUGUGACAGAAACGAAAGCCGAUUGCAGGCAUGGCACGUUCCUUAUUUGUCACCGUCGUGUGUUCAUGUUUGAGAGGAACAAGAGGCAAGUCAUUAAGAACUAAUUCUUACUUACAAUGGCGGCCUGGCAAGCGACAAAAGCCACUUAAGGGAAGGGGAGGUGGGUUAAAAUGAGGUUUUCCGCCAUUAGGCUAAGCAACUGUGGGAAAAGUAAGGCUGGAUCCAGGAAGAAGGUUGGAACAAUGGCGACAAACAAUUGAUUGAUGUCUCACGACAAAAACGUGGAAACAGCACAGCAACGGAAGCAAUGAAACUGGCUCACCGAGGCUCAUCGAGGGAUCCUGAGCCCUGGCCCUGCAGGAUCUCCCUCGCCUGGUUUUUGUUUCCACAUUAGCAUGAGGAACCAUGUCAGAAACCGGGUCCUGGUGAGAUAAAGACCCGGAACAAUUGCCCUGUCUGCAGAGUUUGCCAUUAAGCAUUUGCAUCAGAGUUUUAAACAUCCACGGUGUCGCACGCAAACGAAUCCCGCGCUGUAAACCGCGACACCUCGACUCAAUAAAAGACGGAGACGGCGACCUCUUCCCCCGCGGAAAACAAAUGACCAAACUGGCGGAGGCGGCAGUCUCCCAAGUGGACCAGCGCCAAGGACAUGUGACGCAUAAAUGGAGAACACUUUCAGCACAGAAUUUCUAUUUUGUAAUACAAUAACUGGUACCUAUUUCUUAGUUAUGAUCUCAGUUACCUGUCAUUUGGCACCUGGCAACUUUCAGAUAGUUUUUAAAUGUAUUUUAUAUGGAGCCUGGCAAACUCUGUUAGGCAUACUGUAUUCGAUAGACAAAGUUCUUACAGUCCCAAUUACACCAGUUUUAUUAGCAAUUUUAAAUGAUUCCUGAUUAUCUAUAAACUAAAUGUGCACAGGUUAUUUGAUUGAAAAAUGUCUCUACAUAUUUUAAAUAAUUUACUUACCAUCCCCUCUCUCUCCCCUCAUAAUGAACAGGCCUUUUCAGUCACAUAUAUUAAUAUUCAUGAGCUCACUACUCGAUUGGCCAAGUGCUCACCUACUUGAUUGCCAGUUAAUGACAGACCAACCCAUGCAGGCAUACCUCCAUCUUCCUUUCUGCAAUGCUGACUAAAUCAUUGCAAACAAUGUCACAGUAGGGUUUGCAUGUAUUAUAACCCUAAGGAAACAGAAUAUUUUAUUACCAUGCUUAAUUAGUAAGUCAGCACGCAGGCUUGAAAUCACACUGGCUAAAUCCUAGCCUAGUUCUAUCCAGUUUGUGCUGUGAAAACAAGCUAGAUAUUUGUGUGACAACCAAGUAUGCCCAAAUACUCUAAGCUGUACAGCACAGACAGGCACUCUGGCUAGAGAAAUGCCAGUCAUUAGUGUACUUAAUUUGGUAGGGAACCGCUUGCUGUGUUGACUAACUUUAGUCCACUGCACUGUUAUUAGCAUCAGUCAUUGUUAUUAGCUAGCUAGCGUUAGCUAUGGCAAACUAUUUGCAAUCAAAAUUUGUUUAUAGUUCCUCUGUCAAGCUAGUUGCAACAAUGUUAUUGUGACAUAAAGCCAAGAUCUCUCUUACUGCAAUGUUCUGCUGCCUGUGGCAAAAAAAAACCAUAAAGAGUUUGCCUUA